AUUGAACGCUGGCGGCAGGCUUAACACAUGCAAGUCGAGCGGGGGAAGGUAGCUUGCUACCGGACCUAGCGGCGGACGGGUGAGUAAUGCUUAGGAAUCUGCCUAUUAGUGGGGGACAACAUUCCGAAAGGAAUGCUAAUACCGCAUACGUCCUACGGGAGAAAGCAGGGGAUCUUCGGACCUUGUGCUAAUAGAUGAGCCUAAGUCGGAUUAGCUAGUUGGUGGGGUAAAGGCCUACCAAGGCGACGAUCUGUAGCGGGUCUGAGAGGAUGAUCCGCCACACUGGGACUGAGACACGGCCCAGACUCCUACGGGAGGCAGCAGUGGGGAAUAUUGGACAAUGGGGGAAACCCUGAUCCAGCCAUGCCGCGUGUGUGAAGAAGGCCUUAUGGUUGUAAAGCACUUUAAGCGAGGAGGAGGCUACUGAGACUAAUACUCUUGGAUAGUGGACGUUACUCGCAGAAUAAGCACCGGCUAACUCUGUGCCAGCCGCCGCGGUAA
rnacentral:rRNA from 1 species